CUUGUAUCUUCUCAUUUAUUUCUUCUUCUCACUACAGUUCAGAAAAGUUUUCAGCAAGCUUUUCAUUCGACUGAGACCUAAUGGUGACUUCUGAUCUCUAUUUUCUGUUUCACUUUCAUGAUUAUCUACCUUUGCUGUUGUUCCUCACAUAAUAUUCUGCAGGUUGCAAAUUUCUUUGGCUUAAGUUCUGUUCUUCUUCCCAAAAAAAAUAAUUCUGUUUUCAUUGUUUAUGCAGGAAAUUCUGAUUAUGCAAUGGAUUUGCAUCAGAAAAAACAACUUCAUUACAAUGCUGUGUCCAUGGUGCAGUCCGAACACUACCUAGUAGCAUUAAGUAUUGGCUUCUAUGUGUACGAUUGAGAUGCCUGGCACAUUCUUAGAAUUCUAUGCAAUGGUUUGCAUGUUUUUCCUAAAAGAAAAAAGGGAAAAUUACCCUCCCUCCCCUGUAGUUUUCCAAAAUUAUAUGUGAGUCCAAGGGUUUGAAUGAUUUACACCCCCUUCCCAUGUAGUUUAAAAGAUUCUUACAAUUAGGUCCAAUCCGUUAGUCACCAUGAACUUUUUUUUUUGGAUGAAUAAAUAAUUCAUUACCAAGAGAAGAAGAAUAUACAAGGGGGAAGCGUGUGGGGGGGAAGGAGGCAAAAGCCAACAAGAACAGCCACAUGAGGAGCCCAAAAAAUACAAUGAGACCACAAAUCGAAAUAGCAAGACUAGUCAAAAUGAAACCAAUGCUGACAUAGGCCCGACCAAGACAGAACCAAAUGAGGGGGAGCAUGCGGCGGUCAAGGGGGCUGGGUAAGGUUAACCUAAAGGUUUCAAGAGGUGAUGAUGUGGAGUUUCUUAAGGAGUUAGGGAUUGGGCGGUUAUGGAAGGAAUGGAGGAUAUGGGCUUUGGAAGCAACAUCAAAGUAGAUAGCUUUCCAAAUCUUAUCCAAAGAUCAAGAUUUGGGGGUCCAUCUAAAGAUGUUAUGUUUCAUCCAAAGGUGACUGAUCGUAGCACAAAAAGCAAGUUUUCCAAUGGUGUCACAGAUGUUCAGACUAGAGAAGGACAUGUCGACCUAGAUACAUUCUCUGUCAAAGGGGAGGAUGGGUCUUCUAGAAGGCCAACAUUUGAAAAGGACAAAUUUCCAAACUUGAUUGGAAAAAGGGCAGGAGAAGAAUAGAUGCUGAAUGUCUUCAUUGCCCAAAGGGCAAAGGCAAUAGGUAGGAUUGACGGGGAUCUGACGAUGGAUGAGAAAGGCUUGGGUGGGAAGGCAUCCGGACAGGCAAUGCUAAAGAGUGAAACUCUGACUAGGGAAAUUCCCUUUAAACCAAACAAGUCUAUGCCAAGGAACAGGUGGGGAAGGGGUACGGGACAGUCACCGUGAACUUGAAUCUGUUAGUUGGUGACUUAACCUUUUUAUUACCAAAAAUAUCCUUAUAAGAAAGUGAAGUUACUACUACGCCCUUCACUUAAAUCGAAUAGAAGAGAAAAUCCCUAAAUCAAUUUGUUCUCAUUCAACCUAAGAAUGGAACGGACAAUCAACUGCAACCUCUGCUAGGUGAGAGAAGAAGAACAAAUCUAGCGAAGAGGCUUGCAGGGAGUGGAGGGCGGAGAACUUGGUUGAAGCUUGUGGGAAGCAGAGAAAAGGUGAAGUAUCAAGAUUUGGCUAUGGUGUACUCUUAAAAACAGAGGAUGAUGUUAUAUGCCUGUGCUCAGUAUGUACUUAAUUGCAGUGAUCUCUCAUUUGUUUAUUGGAACCAUGAAGCUACAAAUCUGAGAAGCUGAGAGCAUGAGUCUUGAGACACGAAAUGUCUUCACACUAGUAGCUAUUUGGUUCAGAGUAGUACAUUAGAUUAGCCCAUCUUAUCAAAAGCUCCUUUCUGCAUCUUAGCACAAUAAUCAUAUAAGCUACCAUCAAAGCAGUGUCUCACAACUUCUUUGGAUAAGAAACCCUCUUCAUCUCUUGAAAGCACAUCCGGAACUGCCUAUUCCAGUUUAGUAGUAAUCCUAUCAAAAUCCAAUAAAAUUAAGAGUUGUUUAAGAACCUUUCAUGAAGUUUCAGAUGGGAUCUUUGUAAAAUAUAAAGAAAUUAGGAACGAACCAUCCAAAGAAAUCAUAGGCGACCCUGUUGCCUUCAGUUAUGUUCCAUAUCUUCCCAAACGUCAAUUUAUUACAAACUGUUUCAGCACAGGGGCGGUUUGCAAAGGUUUGGCACCCACCUUGUCCGACAGUUAUACUUUAAGAAACACUUAAAACGUUCGAUGACAUGAAUCGAUGUGAACCCGAUGCUCGUCGAAGUUUUAUGGAGCUUGCAGAGGGGCGAUUUGUAAAAGUUUUCUCUACCUUCUCCAACGAUUAUGUUUUUAGGGAUUUGAUUUGAUAAAAGGGUAUAAUAAGUAUAUAAGGGUAUAAUGGUCCCAAUAAAGCCCCUGGUUCAGAUGGCUUUAGUAUUGGAUUCUUUUCGACCUGUUGGAAUUUAAUUCGGAGUGAUCUCAUCCUUGCGGUGUGUAGCUUCUUCCUGAACCCCAAUCAAAUUGGGGGGAGUAACCACAUCUUCCCCUACCUUAUCCCCAAAAAGGAUGGAGCGGCUUCCAAGAAUGACUUUAGGCCCAUCUCUUUCUGUAAUCUUCUCUAUAAAUUCAUCACCAAGAUUCUUGCCAAUAGGAUUCAAAAGGUAAUUGAUUCUCUUGUCAGUCACAACAAAUCCGCCUUCAUUGUGGUCAGGAGCAUUACUAACAAUAUCAUCAUUUGUCAUGAGAUUGUUAGGGGGUUUGAUUGUAAGAACCACUCCCCUACUGCCCUCCUCGAGAUUGAUAUCCAUAAAGCCUUUGACACGAUAAGCUGGGACUUCAUCUUGAAUGUGCUGCUCCAAAUGGCCUUCCCUCCCUCCUUUAUUCAUUGGAUCUGCAUUUGCAUUUCCUCUCCCUGCUUCUUUGUCCUUGUGAAUGGGAGCCUAACUGGUCACUUUCCCUCGGGCCGUGGCAUUCGUCAGGGAUGUCCUCUUUCCCCUCUUCUUUUCUCCCUUUUCCUAAAAAUCCUCUCCCGCUCUAUCCAAUCUGCCAUAGACAUUUAUCUUAUCUCCCCUAUCCCCAAAUGCAAAAAUUUCCUCCUCUCCCAUUUGGAUUUUGUUAAUGACAUCAUAAUCUUCACCAAGGCUGACCCUCUCUCCAUCAGCACCAUCAUUGCCACUCUUCAUUCCUUUGAGGCCCUAUUGGGUCUCAAAAUCAACCUCCUUAAGUCCAACAUCUUCCUCUCUAGUAUCUCUCUUGAGGCAAAGAAGGCCCUCUGUGACAUAUCAAGUUUCCCAAUGGGCUCCCUCCAUGUUAAAUAUCUAGGCCUCCCCCUUAACUCUUCCAGGCUUUCUACCCACCAUUGCACUCUCUUGCUUGAUAAUCUUAGGAAGAAGUUCCAACUCUGAAAAGGUAAACUCCUCUCUUUUGUUGGCCGCCUCACCUUGAUCUGAUUGGUUCUCCAAUUAUUGCACCUUUAUUGGUCUGGUACCUUCAUCCUUCCUGCCUCGAUUAUUAAAUCUUUUGAAGGUCUUCUUUGCUCCUUCCUUUGGAAAGGCUCGGAGUCCUCCAGAUUCCUAAGACCUCUUAGCUGGAAAAAAUUCUUGUCUCCCCAAAUCUGAAGGAGGCAUUGGGAUUAGAAGAAUUAAAGAUGCCAAUUCAGUUGGUAUCCUUAAUCUCAUUUAGAAAAUUAUGUCCAAAUAGAAAAGCAUCUGGGUCGACUGGGUAUACUCUGGUCUUCUCAAGAACAAUCCUAUUUGGAUUGCCCCCUCUAUUUCUAAUGCUUCUUGGAUCUGGAGGAAGAUUCUUGAGCAUAGACCUGUUGCUGUCACUGUCAUCUCCCACUCUAUUGGUAAUGGGCAUUCUACCUCCCUUUGGAAAGACCUUUGGCAUCCAUUGGGCAUUAUAUCUCACCCCAUUCCCCCCAAAGUUAUAUAUUCCUUUGGUCUCCCUACUACUGCCAUGGUCUCCUCUAUCCUCUCCCCCAAUGGUUGGUCUCCCCCCUCUCCCCCUUCUCUUGCAGAUCUCUGGUCUUCUCUCCCCCUCUUCCCCCUGGCCAUAGAGGAAGAGAUGAUGCGUGCAUUUGGCUCCCUUUAUCUAAUGGGAUCUUCUCCUCGGCUUCAACCUGGUCCCAUAUUAGAAUUCCUUCCCCGGUCCUCCCUAGGCAUAAGCUAGUUUGGUUUAAGUGUCAUAUUCCUCGACACAACCUCACCCUCUGGAGGAGCCUAACCAACUGUCUCCCACUCAAUCCUUCCUUAUUCACCGGCUUAUCCUAGCUAACCCACAGCUUCACCCUCUGGGGGAUCCUAACCAACUGUCUCUUACUCAAUCCUUCCUUAUUAAUCAGCUCAUCCCAGCUAACCUUGCUUGUUGUCUUUGCCCCUCGGGUGUUAAAGAAAUUCCCCAUCUCUUCUUCUCCUGCCCCUUCUCUACCCUAGUAUGGAAAACAAUGCUCUCCAAAUGCUAGGCAAAUUCGAGACCCAUCCUUCCCUUUGACAGAGAAUGUACUUGGAUUGACAUGAUGUUCCCUGGCCCCUCCAUUUGUGACACUAUUGGCAACUCGCUUUUUGUUAUACCAUUAACCAUCUUUGGAUGGAGCGCAACAUUUAUAGAUGGGUCUUGAAAACUAGGUCUCUAUACAUGAUUUGGAAAGCUAUCUACUUUGUUGUUACCUCCAAAGCCCAUAACCCUCUUAACCUUUACCCCCGGCCUAUCCCUAUAUCCCCAAAGAAUUCUCAUAUAAUCUUCUCAUGGAACCUAUAGGUGGACCUCAUCCACCAUGCGUGACUUUGUCUCCCCCCCCCCCCCCCCCCCUUUUUUAUGAUGUAGCUUUCCCCCUUCUUUAGUCCCAACUUUGUCUCUCUUUGAGUUUUGUACAUUGUAUUUGUUUUCCCUUGGGGCUCACCUUUCCCUGUUGGCCUAGGCUUCCCCCUCUCUUUCCCCUCUAUAUUCUUCCUCUUGAUAAUGAAUUAUUUAUUCAUCUAAAAAAAAAUAUUAAGACUAACUCUACUAAAGGGGUAAUAUGGUCUUUUAAUGUAUAAAAGUCAUAGCACACUCACACUAUCAAUGUUAGGAGAGGGGGCAUAAAUCGUUCAAACCCUUGGACCCACAUGUAAUUUCGGCAAACUAUAGGGGAGGGGGACGUAUUUUUCCCUAAUAAAAUCAGAAAUAAAAAAUAAAUUUUGUGUUGGCUCUUCUAUGGAACUACACAAGUAUGAGAUCUUUUGUGCUUCUUAUUUUAGCGUCACUUGCUUCACCUCACAUGUAAUAAAUUUUGUUUUAGUUUUUUACUUGCUUCAAAUUAUAGAUUGGUCGGUAGGUUGAAUUCCGAUUUUGGGGGAACGUAUUCAUCAUCGUUCAUAGCUACAGCAAUAGCAUGCUCCAUCAGUCAGUGGGAGUGGGGUUUCCUUACUCCUGCUAACAGUCAAGAGACUCAGGACAUGAUCCAUUUACAUAACUCUAAUUAUUGGUUCCAUCCUCUCGUGUGGCUUAUCGCACAAGUGAUCAUUAAAAUCUUGUGGAAACUGAAAAGCAUUAUGGCAUUUGGUGUUUGACCAUAUAUAUUCACCUCUAACUUUUCAAUUUUUUGGUCCUCUUAAUAGGUUCAAGAUGGUGUGCAAACUGGAAUUGGAUUAAUACCAUUGAACCCUCGAAAUUCAUUAUAUGGUAUAGGCUCAUAUGAUCAGCUUAUUCAAUAGUAUUAACAGCACCAAAAUCAGUCAGUUUUGUCUGCAACAAAUACCAUAUGUGAACCACUCUUCAAUGGAUCAAGGGAUGGAAUCAAUGCAGGUUCCACAAAGCUGUCCCUGAUCGAUUUGGUUUGCUUGGUUAAUUGAGUGUGAUAAAGUUGAGUGAUCCCAUCCUGACGUCUCUUGCACUUGGAAUUGAUCUAACGAUUCUUGGGCUAAAUUGAACUCAAAAUAUAACCUUCGCAAAACAUUUGGUUCCCCAUGGUCUGAUGAGCCUGCCAAGGGAGAUCCAAAGUACAGUGUGCCUGAAUGUUAUUACGCUAAACAACCACCUACUCUACUUGUGAGCUGAUCCUGACUCUUCAUUUUGAGGUUCCUUUGAGAUCUUUCAUCUUUUUUAUCCAAUCUUUGCUAGAUGGAUGCAGCAAGGCAAUUUUUCAAAGUUACAUUUGAAAACCUUUUUUUAUUUCUUCUACAGGUGCAGCAUGCCAAAAGAUGGGGUUCAAUUGUAUGCGGCAAAGGAAUUAUAUGCCUUCCUGACUAAUAAUUUAUGUACUGCAUUUAUUUUCUGUUACCACUGAUCAUUUGAGUGGAUGGUGUGUUUUUCCUUCAGAAAGUCCCAGCCCUCCUUGGGACCUAUAAAAGGCAAUGAUUACAAUGUGUACAUGGAUUCCUGUUGCUAUACUAGGGUUUGAUGCUUUUUAGUUCU